CAAUAGCGUAUAUUAAUGUUGUUGCAGUUAAAAAAGCUCGUAGUUGGAUUUCUGGUUGGACCGCGAUGCCGGACUCGCAAGGGUUCGUGAUUGUUGUGGUUUCCUUCCAUCCUCAGGUUUGCGCGUGCUGGCCUUAACUGGUCGGUGGGUGUGGUCCUGUCGUUUACUGUGAACAAAUUAGAGUGUUUCAAGCAGGCAUGCGCCUUGAAUACAUUAGCAUGGAAUAAUAAGAUAGGACCUCGGUUCUAUUUUGUUGGUUUCUAGAGCUGAGGUAAUGAUUAAUAGGGAUAGUUGGGGGCAUUCGUAUUUAACUGUCAGAGGUGAAAUUCUUGGAUUAACGGAAGAUGAACUACUGCGAAAGCAUCUGCCAAGGAUGUUUUCAUUGAUCAAGAACGAAAGUUAGGGGAUCGAAGAUGAUCAGAU
rnacentral:rRNA from 1 species